rnacentral:rRNA from 1 species
UUGCUUAAUAUUGACUUGGCUAAGGCUUUUGAUCGCCUUGAGUGGAACUUCAUAGUCUCUGCUCUUUCUCGCAAAGGGUUGCAUGGUCAUUUUAUAAACUUGGUUUACGCUUGCAUCUCUUCCCCAAGUUUCUCUGUCAUUAUCAAUGGUCAACCUUUUGCCAACUUUCGUAGUAACGGAGGCAUAAGACAAGGAUGUCCUUUAUCGCCUUAUCUUUUUGUCCUUGCUAUUAAUGAACUUUCUUUGAGCUUACAUGAUGAUAUGGUCCAAAAUUGCUUGUCCGGGAUCUCUCUUGGUCCAGAUUGUCCUUCUAUUCACGCAAUGCUUUUUGCCGAUGAUUUGUUGGUCCGUGGCAAUGCUACAGCGCAGGUGGCUGAUCAGAUGGCCAAUCUCACUAACCAUUUCUGC